rnacentral:rRNA from 1 species
GGGAGGUAGUGACAAUAAAUACCUUACAGAGGUCUCGUUAACCGAGAUCUCUCAAACGGAAUGAGUACAACGUGAAUCCUUUAACGAGGAUCGACUGGAGGGCAAGCCUGGUGCCAGCAGCCGCGGUAAUUCCAGCUCCAGUAGCGUAUAUUAAAGCUGUUGCGGUUAAAAAGCUCGUAGUUGGAUAUCAGUGCGUGUCCGGUCCGGUAUGCCUGGCGGCGUCGCUCGCGCGGCACUGCUGGGCUCCCAAAUAUCGGCUGGCCGCAUUCAAUCGUGCCGGAUCCGUCGACGGGCCGUUCUUCGGAGGGGCCUGUUGGCGACCGGCGACGUUACCUUGAACAAAUUAGAGUGCUCAAAGCAGGCUCUGAAUGCCUGUAUACAUAUUCAUGGAAUUGGAGAAUACGUCCCUGGCUCGAUUUGGUUGGUUUUGAGAGUCGAAGGGAAAUGAUUAAUAGGGACUGACGGAGGCAUUCGUAUUGCGACGCGAGGGGUGAAAUCCUGUGACCGUCGCACGACGAACUACUGCGAAAGCAUUUGCCGAGAAUGUUUUCAUUAGUCAAGAACGAAAGUUAGAGGUUCGAAGGCGAUCAGAUACCGCCCUAGUUCUAACCGUAAACGAUGUCGACCAGCAAUCCGCAACGGUCACUACACGGACUGUGCGGGCAGCUUCCCCGGGGAAACCAGAGUUUUUGGACUCCGGGGGAAGUAUGGUUGCAAAGCUGAAACUUAAAGGAAUUGACGGAAGGGCACCACCAGGAGUGGAGCUUGCGGCUUAAUUUGACUCAACACGGGACAACUCACCAGGCCCGGACACCGUAAGGAUUGACAGACUGAUAGCUCUCUCUUGAUUCAGUGGGUGGUGGUGCAUGGCCGUUCUUAGUUGGUGGAGUGAUUUGUCUGGUUUAUUCCGAUAACGAACGAGACUCUGGCCUAUUAAACUUGACACUGUCAGUCUCUUGUGACUGCGGUGC